rnacentral:misc_RNA from 1 species
GUAGGUGAACCUGCGGAAGGAUCAUUACUGAGAGUACCGGGCUUCGGCCUGGCUACUUUUACCCAUGUUUUUUAGUACCAAAGUUUCCUCGGCGGCUCACUCCGCCGGCUGGACUCCAUUCAAACCCAUUGUAGUUGCAGUCAGCGUCUGAUAAACCUAAUAAUUAAAACUUUCAACAACGGAUCUCUUGGUUCUG